AUUGAACGCUGGCGGCAUGCCUUACACAUGCAAGUCGAACGGCAGCACGGGAGCAAUCCUGGUGGCGAGUGGCGAACGGGUGAGUAAAGUAUCGGAACGUGCCCAGUCGUGGGGGAUAACGUAGCGAAAGUUACGCUAAUACCGCAUACGAUCUAUGGAUGAAAGCGGGGGAUCGCAAGACCUCGCGCGAUUGGAGCGGCCGAUAUCAGAUUAGGUAGUUGGUGGGGUAAAGGCUCACCAAGCCGACGAUCUGUAGCUGGUCUGAGAGGACGACCAGCCACACGGGGACUGAGACACGGCCCAGACUCCUACGGGAGGCAGCAGUGGGGAAUUUUGGACAAUGGGCGAAAGCCUGAUCCAGCCAUGCCGCGUGCAGGAUGAAGGCCUUCGGGUUGUAAACUGCUUUUGUACGGAACGAAAAGGUUUGGCCUAAUAAGCUGAGCUCAUGACGGUACCGUAAGAAUAAGCACCGGCUAACUACGUGCCAGCAGCCGCAGUAA
rnacentral:rRNA from 1 species